AAUUAGUCGAAUUAGUUGAUUUUGCCCAGACUUUCAGUGUGGGAUCAAAGAAGCCCCCUCUUCUCGUCUGGAACUAACUGAGAUUAGUUGUGUUCAAACUUUCAGAGAAUCCUCUCUUCUUCUCUGGGACACGCUCAGCUGCUGUACGUCACUAUGACUAAGGCCAAUGACCAACUGAUGACCCAGUAUAAUGCAACAGUCAUCACACCAUCACCAGAAAACCGGGACCCCAGACCGACCGCGGACAGGUCACGUGGCUCAGGCUUCAAGGGGUUCUGCGCUAACUAUCUCUU